GUCCCUUCGGGGACAUCAGAUAAAUUGGAAGGAUACAGAGAAGAUUAGCAUGCACAAUGAUGACAAACAAAUUCAGUAUGUAACUAAUAACUGGAUUUUU